rnacentral:ncRNA from 1 species
GCCCCGGAGCCUAUCCUGGCCACUCGUGGACAAAAGCGGGAGACAUCCCGGACAGGUUGCCAGUCUGUCGCAACCAUGCCUGGUCGGGGCGAAGCCAGAGGAAACUCUGGUGGAGGCCCGCAGUGGUCCUGACGUGCAAAUCAGUCGUAUGACCUGGGUAUAGGGGCGAAAGACUAAUUGAACCAUCUAAAAGCUGGUUCCCUCUGAAGUCUCCCUCAGGAUAGCUGGCGCUCGAAGUCUGGCAGUUUUAUCUGGUAAAGCGAAUGAUUAGAGGCCUUGGGGCCGAAACGAUCUCAACCUAUUCUCAAAGUUAUGAGAAUGGGUUGCACGGUGCGCACAGAAGCCUGGGGCGCGAACCUGGGUGGAGCUGCCGCAGGGGCAGAUCUGGUGGAAGUAGCAAAUAUUCAAACGAGAACUUGAAGN